AUUGAACGCUGGCGGCAGGCCUAACACAUGCAAGUCGAGCGGAUGAAGAGAGCUUGCUCUCUGAUUUAGCGGCGGACGGGUGAGUAAUGCCUAGGAAUCUGCCUGGUAGUGGGGGAUAACGUUCCGAAAGGAACGCUAAUACCGCAUACGUCCUACGGGAGAAAGAAGGGGACCUUCGGGCCUUGCGCUAUCAGAUGAGCCUAGGUCGGAUUAGCUAGUUGGUGAGGUAAUGGCUCACCAAGGCGACGAUCCGUAACUGGUCGGAGAGGAUGAUCAGUCACACUGGAACUGAGACACGGUCCAGACUCCUACGGGAGGCAGCAGUGGGGAAUAUUGGACAAUGGGCGAAAGCCUGAUCCAGCCACGCCGCGUGUGUGAAGAAGGUCUUCGGAUUGUAAAGCACUUUAAGUUGGGAGGAAGGGCAGUAAGUUAAUACCUUGCUGUUUUGACGUUACCGACAGAAUAAGCACCGGCUAACUUCGUGCCAGCCGCCGCGGUAAUAC
rnacentral:rRNA from 1 species